GGACAAGCUGCUGCGAUACGACCACCAGUCUCGGCUCACUGCAAGAGAGGCCAUGGAGCACCCUUACUUCUACACUGUCGUGAAGGACCAGGCUCGAAUGAGUUCGGCUGGCAUGGCAGGGGGCAGCACACCUGUCAGUAGCGCCAAUAUGAUGUCAGGUUGGUGAUUGGUCAGUUCUCUUUUAGAAAUUAGAAGAAAGUUACUGUUCUUAGUUUCAGUUCCCUUUUUGUGCCUGAUUUCUUAUAUACCUCCUCUUCUCUGUGAGAACGCUGCGUGCAUUUGGGUGGAAGGCAGAGGUCAGGAUUGUUCAGGAGCCGUCCACUUUGCCUUGUUGAGCUAUUUUAUAUGUGUGCAUGUGUACCACAAGCCAUGGGCUUGCUCCCUUGGGACCUACCAGUUAACUUAGGCUAACAGGUUAGAGAGCCACCAAGGAUCUGUCUUU
rnacentral:lncRNA from 1 species